AAGUCGUAACAAGGUUUCCGUAGGUGAACCUGCGGAAGGAUCAUUUCCAAAAAACGUGAUAACUCACUAUACAAACUCAAAAGGAGAAGCAAGUUGUUUCUCCUGUGUGGAAAUGUUUGGGGUCGUCUUUUUUUACUCUCAAAGGGUACCCCUAAUUUUAAAGAUUUUUUCUUUUUUUAUUAGGGUGAUCUGGAGAGAGAUUUGUGAUAAGCCCAUUUGAUACAUCAAAACCUUCAUUUCAUUCGAGAUAAAACAAAAAAUUAAACGACAACUUUUAACGGUGGAUCUCUUGGCUCGU
rnacentral:misc_RNA from 1 species